rnacentral:rRNA from 1 species
CCUACGGGUGGCAGCAGUGGGGAAUAUUGGUCAAUGGGCUUACGCCUGAACCAGCCAAGUCGCGUGUGUGAAGACUGCCCUAUGGGUUGUAAACCUCUUUUGUCAGGGAGCAAUCGGCGCUACGUGUAGCGUUAUCGAGAGUACUUGCAGAAAAAGCAUCGGCUAACUCCGUGCCAGCAACCGCGGAAAGACGGAGGAUGCGAGCGUUAUCCGGAUUGAUUGGGUUUAAAGGGGACGUAGGCGGAAUGCCCGUACAGCGUGAAAAUCGCGGGGCUCAACCGGGCUCCGCCGUUGAUACUGGCGUUCUUGAGUGGAGGAGAGGGAUGCGGAAUGCGUGGUGUAGCGGUGAAAUGCAUAGAUAUCACGCAGAACACCGAUUGCGAAGGCAGCAUACCAAGCUACUUCUGACGUUGAGGCACGAAAGCGUGGGGAGCAAACAGGAUUAGAUACCCCAGUAGUC